CCCCCUUAAAAAAAUGGUUUACCCCUCCUGAUAUGCUUAAGUACUCAACACAAUUUGUACUCCUAAGUAGUUGAAUUAACUUGGAGAGAGGCUGACAGCCUGACACAGACACAUGUGUCGUAAAAUGUGGGCCUUUUACUUAGUCGUGAUUCUGGCGAUCUCCGCCGACGCGUCAGGGAAUGACAGCCACUCUCCGGGGGAAGAGACGCGGGUCAUCGCUCGGGGGAAACUGCUGGCUCCCAGCGUGGUCGGGUGAAGCAUCAAGAAGAUGCCGGAACUCCACCAAUUCCUGAUGGAGCGCUGGGCACUGUACCAUAACCUGGAGUAUGAUUCCUCGGAGGAGAAGGAGCCCCGUCUGAUCUUCUACGAUGACAGGGACGAGGUGGUGCAGACGGUCCCUGUGAAAGAGAUGACGGCGGACGCCAUCGGCCAGCUGCUGGAGGCCCGCGGAUUCUACAGGAGGAGCCAGAAGGGAGAGGAGGUUCCCGAGGAGUUCCAGAACUUCCCCCUGCACGCCCCCAGAGACGAGCUCUGAGGGCCCCUAGUGGCCGCGGACCGCCGCUGCAGCCCUGUCGCUUAAUGACGAGUGGGGCUCCAAGGCUCAACUGUCAGCCCGGCCCUACUCCGAUAACCCCUCGACAGGCUGCGCAGUCCGAACUCCCCACCUCAAAAUAUAAAUUGUGAAAAAUAUGUGGUGUUAUGUUAAUAAAAAUUUGAAUUGGCUCCAUUGAAAGAAUUUUUUUUUCAAUUUUCAAUAUAGGUCCAUUAUCCCGAUAAUACUAUUGUCAAGAGAUUUUUAUAAAAAC
ensembl:lncRNA